GGUGGCUCAGUGGUAGAGUGCUUGCCUUGCAUGCAUGAGGCGCUGGGUUCAAUUCCUCAGCACCA
rfam:Dipodomys ordii contig_1111, whole genome shotgun sequence.